rnacentral:rRNA from 1 species
AUUGAACGCUGGCGGCAGGCUUAACACAUGCAAGUCGAACGAGUGGCGGACGGGGGAGUAAUGCUUGGGAAUCUGGCUUAUGGAGGGGGAUAACUCCGGGAAACUGUAGCUAAUACCGCGUACCCUAGGGUGCACCCAAGUGGGAUUAGGGAGUGUGUGAGGGAAAGGCUCACCAAGACGACGAUCGCUAGAUGGUCUACGAGGAUGACCAGCCACACUGGGACUGAGACACGGCCCAGACUCCUACGGGAGGCAGCAGUGGGGAAUAUUGCGCAAUGGGGGCAACCUGACGCAGCCAUGCCGCGUGAAUGAAGAAGGCCUUCGGGUUGUAAAGUUCUUUCGGUAGCGAGGCGUUACCUACAGAAGAAGCACCGGCUAACUCCGUGCCAGCAGCCGCGGUAAUUC